rnacentral:rRNA from 1 species
CCUACGGGUGGCUGCAGUGGGGAAUAUUGGACAAUGGGGGGAACCCUGAUCCAGCCAUGCCGCGUGUGUGAAGAAGGCCCUCGGGUUGUAAAGCACUUUCAGUGAGGAAGAACGCCUGGUGGUUAAUACCCAUCAGGAAAGACAUCACUCACAGAAGAAGCACCGGCUAACUCCGUGCCAGCAGCCGCGGUAAUACGGAGGGUGCGAGCGUUAAUCGGAAUUACUGGGCGUAAAGCGCGCGUAGGGGGCUUGAUAAGCCGGUUGUGAAAGCCCCGGGCUCAACCUGGGAACGGCAUCCGGAACUGUCAAGCUAGAGUGCAGGAGAGGAAGGUAGAAUUCCCGGUGUAGCGGUGAAAUGCGUAGAGAUCGGGAGGAAUACCAGUGGCGAAGGCGGCCUUCUGGACUGACACUGACACUGAGGUGCGAAAGCGUGGGUAGCAAACAGGAUUAGAUACCCGGGUAGUC